rnacentral:lncRNA from 1 species
GGAGUUCUUUGGGAUAAGUGUUGCCUCUAAAUCAAGAGCUAUAGAAUAUCUCAUAAAUCAAGACAUAAUGUGGUAGUGUCAAGUCUUGCUCGUGGGGCAUAACUAGUUAUUUGAAAAUCUUUGAGCUAAGUCUUGCCUUUAUGGUAAGAGUUAUAGAGUAUCUUAUACAUUAGGAUAUAAUGAAGUAGUGUUAGCUCUUGCCU